CCUACGGGCGGCAGCAGUGAGGAAUAUUGGUCAAUGGGCGUAAGCCUGAACCAGCCAAGUCGCGUGAGGGAUGAAGGUUCUAUGGAUCGUAAACCUCUUUUAUAAGGGAAUAAAGUGUGGGACGUGUCCUAUUUUGUAUGUACCUUAUGAAUAAGGAUCGGCUAACUCCGUGCCAGCAGCCGCGGUAAUACGGAGGAUCCGAGCGUUAUCCGGAUUUAUUGGGUUUAAAGGGUGCGUAGGCGGGCUGUUAAGUCAGCGGUGAAAGUCUGUGGCUCAACCCUAGAAUUGCCGUUGAAACUGGGGGGCUUGAGUAUGUUUGAGGCAGGCGGAAUGCGUGGUGUAGCGGUGAAAUGCUUAGAUAUCACGCAGAACCCCGAUUGCGAAGGCAGUCUGCCAGGGCAUGACUGACGCUGAUGCACGAAGGCGUGGGGAUCGAACAGGAUUAGAUACCCCUGUAGUC
rnacentral:rRNA from 1 species